GGUGGAGCGCCUUUCUCGGCAGCGGCUAUUGCGAAAUCUCGAUUGGAUAGGAGCGCGGGGGCUGAAUGAGAUGGAGCGAGGAGACAGUGCUUCAAAUCGGGGAGGUUCAGGUUCUGCCACCACAUUCGCAAUUAUAGUGGAAUUUUUUCCCUGUAAAGCCAAGCUCAGUGAUGGCAGUGUCCAAGACAUUGAUAGAGAUACCACCGUGAGGUUGGAUGUCGAAUUUGCAGAUGUUGAUCCCCAGGAAUUGGAGAGCAUGAAGGAGAAGGCCGUGGGCAAUUUGGUGGAGAGAAUUGGGGAGAGUAUUGUUUGGGGUCCAGAACAACAGGUG